UAUUCGGCAUGUGAGACACAAUUAUGAUACUGACUUGCAAAACAAAUAUAUAGAUGACAUUUAUUUUAGCGUUGGCAAAUGGGAGUGCCGCUCAAAUUGGCUUAGGCUCCUCACUACGAGACUAUACAACGUAGCUAGCUUCAUAAACAUAUUUUGGGGAAUUCUGAAAUGUAUUGGAAUAAAUGACCAAGUUAUAAAAUUAGCUAGCCAGCUAAGUAUUGUAACUCUAGCUAUCUACCUGACAAAAUGCUAGCUAACUACGUUAGCUUGCUACAUUAAUAGCUUUAGGUUGGUGUUUUUUAAGCUCAACUUCAAGAUUUCCAUCAAGGACGUUGCAUCCGAUCAUCACUCUCCCUCGCUUGGGCAAAGGACAUUUAAGUCUCCUCCAGCUAAAGUAGGAGAGGCAGUAAAGGCUUCCAUCUGCUGGCUACAGACUCAUUGACGGGGCUUUCCUCUACCAGAAUGAGGUGGGAAAGGGCAUCCAGGCUAUGAUCCAGGAGGGUACUGUAAAGAGAGAGGAGCUGUUCGUCAUCAGCAAGAUUAGGGAUGAGCUCGUGGACAGCGAGGGAUUCACUGUUGCCGUGGAAACCAGAUUCCUGGAUACCUGGGAGCGCCUCUCGGGGCAUGGCAGAGCUUGUGGAUGCAGGGUUGGUAAAAGCCAUUGGAAUCUCCAAUUUCAACAGCCAUCCAACUGAAUCCAUUCUGAACACACCAGGCCUCAAGAACAAACCUGCCAACAACCAGGUGCUCUUUGCCCUCUCUCCCAGCCCAAAAUAGCACUUUGCAUUUGUGAUCUUUAGAGCAUAACAGGUAUUCAGAGUUAAUCACAGUGUCAUUGAGUACGUUUACAUGCGCAGCAAUAAUUCAAUAUUAAACUGAUUAUGGCAGUAUGCAGAUUAUGCAAAAGUCAUGUAAACACUGCUGCUUAUCUUAAUUGUCAGAAAGGUCAAAAUCAAAAGUAAGCAUACGGCGAUUAAAACACCUGGUUUUCUGAGCAAUCUUUCAAAUUACUAGGACAUGUAAACACCUUCAUCAGCGUUUCAGCUGUGUAUUUGAUCUACGCAUGUGCUAGCAACAACCCAAGCAAGCCUCACUCUUUAGCAGGAGUGAAGUGAGGGUUCGGAACAACUGAAUGUAUGCACCUUAGAAUUAGUUUUCACAUACAAACUUAGAAUCCAAUAUUCUUCCCAAAAAUAACAGGGUUGUUGUGGUAGAACAAUUAUAUUUUGAUUGGCGAUUUUCUGCAUUUAUCAGAGUAGCCUAAUUUUCAGAUGUUUCAGGAUUAUUAGGGAAAUAUGUCUCCUUGCAAAGAAUGUAAACUUUUCAAUCCAUCUAUUAUAUUAAUCUGAUUAUCCACAAUAAUCGCAUUAGUGUGUGCAUGUAACCAUACUAUAACUUAUGUAGUAGGCUGCCUCCCGAAUGGCGCAGCGUCACUACAGACCCGGGUUCGAUCUCUGGCUCUGUCGCCUGGAAUUCGAGAAACCCAUGAGGAGGCGCACAAUUGGCCCAACGUCGUCCAGGUUAGGGGAGGGUUUGGCCAUCGCGCUCUAGCGACUCCUUGUGGCGGACGCAUGCACGCUGACUUAGGUGGCCAGUUGUACAGUGUUUCCUCCGACACAUUGGUGCAGCUGGCUUCCGGCUUAAGCGAGCAGUGUUUCAAGAAGCAGUACAGUUUGGCAGGGUCGUGUUUCGUAAGGACGCAUGGCUCUCGACCUUCGCCUCUCCCAGGUCAAUAUGGGAGUUACACCUGUCACCAUCGUUACGCGCAUCAUGACACUCACAUGGACUCCAUCACCUCCUUGAUUACCUGCCCUAUAUAUGUCACCCACUUUGGUUCCUUCCUGAGGCGUCAUUGUUGUUUAGUUUUUUGAUUACAUCACUCCCUGAACUUGCUUCCCGACUCUCAGUGCACAUCGUUACAUCCUGUCUGCUCUGACCAGAUUGAGGGCCACCCAUAUCUGUCCCAGCAAAAGCUGAUCAACUAUUGUCACUCCCAAGGCAUUACUGUCACAGCAUACAGCCCCCUGGGGUUACCUACCAGGCCAUGGUAAACGACACACGGAUAGACACAGUACAGACACAUGGAGGGAAAUGUUGCACACACACACAUUAUUCGUAAGUUUCUACGGUAACUGUCUGAUCUGAUGUUCUUGUAUUAGGGUCAAACCAGACAACCCCUGUUUAUUUCAAGACCCAAACAUCAAGGACAUAACUGAGAAGCACCAGAGGACUAUAUCUCAGGUAAAGUGAGAGCCACAGUAACUUAGUCUAACUGUUAGCUACAUAGAGAAAAUGGGUAAAGGGUCUCCACCUACCCACGGCACAGGAUGAUGCAAAAGGAACUCGCCCAUUGUGAGAGGAUGCAAAGACAUGAAAGAUGAUGUUUACAGUAAUGUUCUGGAACUUUUUGUUGUUGAUGCAGUUUUCCCUCUGUUUUCAAAGACUGUAGAUGUUGGUUUUCAUUCCAGGUGUUUGACUUUGAACUGAGCAAAGAGGACAUAAGGACCAUGUUAUUACUGAACAGGAACUACAGAGUCUUUCCUCUGCCCUCAUACGUAAUUAUAGUGCCAAUCACCUUUGUCAAACGUGAUCAUACAUCCGUUUUUAAAGCCUCAACUGAUCUUCGGUAUCUCUGGGUGACUGUCCUCCGCUGUUUGUUUCCCAUAGGGGGCUGAAGCACAAAGACUACCCCUUCAGUGAUGAAUUUGAAGAGGCACGUAUACCCGCCAUUGAAGUCUCCAGCUUCACUCCAUUACAGAUCACAUUCUACCUAAUCUUAAUAUGGAUGGAGGGCCCUCCCCUGUGCUGUCAAUCAUAUUGAAUUAUUUAUAUUCAUUAUAAUCACAAGAACAAUAUAGUACAUAAAUUGUAUGCAUAACAUGUUGCAGAAAACAUUUAUAUAGCCUGGCCUAUAAUUUAAGAUUCUCAAAGAUUGUUAUUGUCACUGUUGUUCUCAUUUCAUUGUCUCAUAGCUAAUUUAACACUAAAUAUUUAAUGAACACAGAUUAGUAUUUGUGAGAAUAAAACAAACAUUCUCACUCAGUAAAUCUACGGAGUUGCUUAUUGUGGUCGGUCUUCCAUCUGAAACCGUUGCUGAGCCAUAAGAUGGACCGCAAAAUAAUCACGUUGAACACGUUCCAAUGCACCAAUAUAGCGCCUCUUCCCCCUUCAGGAGGCUGAAAAGAUUUGGCAUGGGCCCUCGGAUCUUCCAAACGUUCUACAGCUGCACCAUCGAGUAUCUUGACUGGCUGCAUCACAGCUUGGUAUAGAAAAUGCAUCGCCCUUGCAGACAGCACAGUACAUCACUGGGGCCAAUCUCCCUGCCAUCCAGGACCUCUAUGUCAGGUGGUGUCAGAGGAAGGGCCGAAAAAUUGCCUGACUCCAGCCACCCAAGCCAUAGACUGUCCACUCUGCUACUGUCCGGCAAACGGUACCGGACCAUUGGCUCUCGGACCACCAGGAUCUGAGUCAGCUUCCACCCCCAAGCCAUUACACUGCUAAAUAGUAAAUUAAUGGUACCCAAACUAUCUUGCACUGACCCUACGCACACUCACUAGACGGCAGCUGGUGGCACUCCAUUCCAGACAUUAUUAUUAGCUGUCCACCCCUCAGCAGCCUCCUGUGAUAUACACACUCACACUACAUUGACACUCCCACUAAAAACCCACGUACAUUCACACACACUACAUUGACACUCCCACUAAAACCCCACAUACAUUUACAUACACUACAUACAGUGCAUUCGGCAAGUAUUUAGACCCCUUGAUUUUUUUCCACAUUUUGUUACAUUACAGCCUUAUUCUAACUUUAUUAAAUCAUUUUU